UCCUGUUAAGUCAGGAAAUACAUCAUAACCAGGAAGUAAGACUCCUUCAAAACUGGCACACUUUUAUUUUUCCGAUGAUUUGUUUUUCGCAUUUUUUGUUAACAGUUACACCUGUUGGUGAUUUUUAGAAAAUGAUUCCAGACUUUUAAAUCUUUUAAAGCCCAAACUUUGAACUGCUCACAGACAGUUUGGGGAGUUAUUUCACCUGUGGAAUUUCCAGUAACCUCUGAAGUCAUUUCAAUCGUUUUGUUCAAGAUGUGAGAUGGUUUCGAUUGUUUAGGUUUUGGGCGGGUGAGACGGCUCGCCUGGGCCUCCCGGACACCAGGGAGAAAGAUGAACUGUCCGGGUCUCCAUCUGCUCACCACUCCGCCUUCUGGAAUGCUCUUCUGGUCCCGUGGAGCUCUUGGCCUCGUCCUCCCCGACUGAUGAUCAGCCAGACGACGUUAGACCAAUCGCAACGCCUGGAUCCGCACCUCACCCCCGCAGCUCCUCGCCGUCCCGGCGGUGCUUUUGAACAUGGCCAGCGGCUUAGGCAUCAGCCUCAAUCUCUGUCAUGGAACACGCUAACAUGUGUCACCGCGGUCGGGGCGUGAGCCUUUCCAGGACUGACGGGGCAUUUCCAACAUCUGUCAUGCUCAAAGUUAAAUCUCUGCACCUCUGUCAAACCACCAGACCCGUCCGAUUACUUUAUUUUCUUUUUGGUUUAAAAAAUAUGUACCACAUUUUAAUCCUUUGCUUCAGUAAUUUAAUAACGUCUGGUAGACUUUCUGUGAUAAACGACGUGUGUUGUGAUGCUCAGGGUAGUGAUGUGCGUUGACAAAAAAAUGACAAAAGUUGUUGCUGGUUAGUUAUGACGCAGACAUUUUCUAUUUCACAUUUUACAAAGAACAACUGUUGAGAAAUAUUUGAGAAUUUGAUCUGAAGACACUGAUUAAAACUCUCAUUGAC